rnacentral:misc_RNA from 1 species
GCGCAGUGACUGCAGCUGGAUCAUUUUCCGAUGAUAAUAUAUAUAUAUAUAUGUGUGUGUGUAUACACAUGUGUGUGUGUGUUAUGAGAGGGGGUUUUUUUUGUGUGCGCGUGUGUGCCCUGCGCCCCCCUCAUGCGUACAAUUCCCCCCCCCCCCCCCCCCCGCGGGGGGGGGGUGGUGGGGGGGGGACAACCCGCGGGGGGGGGGGGGUUUUGUAUCCACCCCCAAAAAUUAAAAAAACCCCCCAACAAACACCCGUCUGAACAACCCCCCCCCCCUCUGUCUCUCUCUUUUUCGUGGGGAGCGAACGUGCGAAUGAGUGCGCCCCCCCCGAGAAGGAAAGAAGGGGGGGGGAGGAAACAAACUAUUUUUAUUCCCCCCGCCCCUCAUUGUGUGUGUGCUCGCUGGCUCUUUUUCUCCCCCUCUUUUCCUCCCCCCCUUUUUUUUUCUUUCCCCCCUGGGGUGGGGGGGGAGAGGAAGAAAAAAAGUGUGUGUUUUGAAAAAAAAAAGAGGGUGAGGGAAAAAAAGCGUGUGUGUGUGUGUGCGCACACGGGUGUUGUGUCCCCCUCUCUCACCAGGUGGCGGGGGGAAGGAUGUCUUUCCUUCUUUCUCAGAAGAACACGAAAGAGAGGGAGAGAGUUCUCAUUCAUUGAAUACUCAUAUCGCUCUCUAUACACACACUCUGCGCGUGGGAGGGAAUAUUUUUAUAUAUGUCUGCGUGUGUCACACACUCUGUGAGUAGACAAAAAAAAAAACACUCUCUCUCUCUUUCUCUCUCUCUAUGAGAAAAGAUGAGCGUGUGUGUGUGUGUGCUGUAUACUAUCUCGUCGCGAGUGAGAGAGAGAGCGCGCGCGUGCACAUACACUCUCCCCCCUAUCAAAAUAUUACACCACGCGAGAAAAAGACACACGUCUGUGUGUAGUGUUGUGUUCUGUCACACACUAGAGGAGAGAUUAUUGUUUGAUGUGUAGAGAGGGACUAGUCUGUCGCAUGCGUGUGUGUGUGUAUUGUCUGGAGGCGUAUAUUUAUUAUAUAUCAACGAAAACAACACUCUUUCGUCUCUUCUCUAUCUCCUCGCGUCGAUGUACGUUUGUAUCGUGAGGGAGAGUAGUAUCUACUACGUGGGAUUAUUGAUUUAGUUAGAAGAGGAGGAUUUUUGUAGAACUUCUCUCUCGUCAAUCGCUCUAGUCAGUGCGGACG